UACGGAGGGUGCAAGCGUUAAUCGGAAUUACUGGGCGUAAAGCGUGCGCAGGCGGUUUGUUAAGUCUGCUGUGAAAUCCCCGAGCUCAACUUGGGAAUUGCAGUGGAUACUGGCAAGCUGGAGUACGGUAGAGGAAGGUGGAAUUCCCGGUGUAGCAGUGAAAUGCGUAGAGAUCGGGAGGAACACCAGUGGCGAAGGCGGCCUUCUGGACCAGUACUGACGCUCAUGCACGAAAGCGUGGGGAGCAAAUGGG
rnacentral:rRNA from 1 species